CCAGAUUUUAAUAAAUUUGUAAAAUAAAAAUGUUAUAAAAAUAAUGAGAUUACAAGAGUACCCUUGAAGUGAAGUGGGCUUAUACUCUAUAACCCUAGAACACGACAUUAUCACUCCCAAUUCUUCUCUUCUUCUUUUCCCUACUCUCUGCUGCAGCUACAAAUUGAUAUUGAGGAAGAAGUUUUUCUAGGCUAUUACAAGAUGUUUGUUGGUCUCACUGCUAUGAAGAUGGUUGUAUUCGUUCGAGAAUAAAUCAACACUGUUUGAAUCAGUACCCCUUCAUAACCGAAUCAAAUCAGUUAACACCACCACUGACAUCAAUCUAAUCGACCAAAGAACCCUAAUUUCAAUUACAUCCACAAAUCCCCAUCACCAUCGUUGCUACUUUCGAUUUAGUGAAUAACUCUGCCUACACACUUAUUCAACAAUUGAGAUUUAUCACAAGUAGCAACACCAUCUCAAAUCACUCAAAUUAGUAAUUCAUUAAAUCCAUUUCCUGCUCACGGACCAUCAAAUUCCCAGUUUCUUUUCCAUUCACUAAAUCGAACACAACCUGUGUCUUAGUAUCACCAACUCCUUCUCUUCUGCAACCUCAGUACCAACACAGAUUUAAAACUUCCAAAACACAUAUCUCCAAGCUUGAAUUUUUUUCUCCUAAUCCUCCUAUGAGAUUCUCACAAAAAACCCAAAAGUGGAAUCACAUAAACCUGCGGUCUCUUGAGCCCAAUUAUUCUACCACAGACCUAAAACCACAUCAAACAAACCCUAAUUUCUGAUUGAUUUGCUUAAAAAUCUAAAAUUAAAUCCUUCAUAACCAUCCAUACUUUAAUUAAGAAACAAACCCAUCAAAAAUUGAUCAAGUUCACAUCAAUUUCGUAUUUAAGCAUCAACCAAUUGAAACCCUAAUUUAACUUGCCAUUUUCCUAUUUUUCAUGAUUCGCAGCAACAACAUCUCCUUCGUAAUUCACAGAGAAUAACUUCAUUUUCAUCUACUCAGCUUCACAGAGAAACUUGAAGUUUUCCAUGGGUGUUGGCUAGAAUUGGUUUUGAGUUCGAAUCAUCUACUGCGAGAAACUGAGAAGAAGAUUUGAGAAACUGAAGAUUUGAUGUCUUUUUUACAUAGGGGUGCAAAAAAAGAGCUAUCAAUCAUCUAUGGCAUUCAUCUACUAUAUUCUCUGAAGUUGGAAAGGGUGUUACUGCCAUUAAUCUACGACAAUCGAAGAUAGGCUUGUUGAUUUUGGUUUGGAGGAGAAGGAGAAGGAGAAGAAGUCAACACUUAGCGGAGUCAACUCCGGUCAACGUCUGGUCCAGGUACCAAGCCCUAACGUUGGAAAAAUGUUAGACCAAAGAAUCAGCAGCCGUGAAGAACAGGGGAAAGAAAGAAAGAAAGAGAAGAAGAAGAAAGAGAAAGAAGAAAAGAGAAGUGAGUUUCUCUUCGACACGUGUAGAAGAUAAGGCAGAUGAGAUUUACUAAGGCACCCAAGAAACAGAUAAGGGCAGCCUAAGCGGUUUGUCUAUGAUAACUUUAUCCUUCAUACUAAGCCAGUGAUAUCUUCAUCCUCAGGUAUCCGAUUGACACGUUCGAGUAUACUAUCGCGCAUAACUUUUCGAGAUCUAUCAGGUGAUACUAGCUUCGUA